rnacentral:rRNA from 1 species
CCUACGGGAGGCAGCAGUGAGGAAUAUUGGUCAAUGGACGAGAGUCUGAACCAGCCAAGUAGCGUGAAGGAUGACUGCCCUAUGGGUUGUAAACUUCUUUUAUAUGGGAAUAAAAUGUUCCACGUGUGGGAUUUUGUAUGUACCAUAUGAAUAAGGAUCGGCUAACUCCGUGCCAGCAGCCGCGGUAAUACGGAGGAUCCGAGCGUUAUCCGGAUUUAUUGGGUUUAAAGGGAGCGUAGGUGGACUGUUAAGUCAGUUGUGAAAGUUUGCGGCUCAACCGUAAAAUUGCAGUUGAAACUGGCAGUCUUGAGUACAGUAGAGGUGGGCGGAAUUCGUGGUGUAGCGGUGAAAUGCUUAGAUAUCACGAAGAACUCCGAUUGCGAAGGCAGUUCACUGGACUGCAACUGACACUGAGGCUCGAAAGUGUGGGUAUCAAACAGGAUUAGAUACCCCUGUAGUC